CCAACCCGGGACUGAAACCUCCAAAACUGAGUUGCAGUCAACUUUUCCUCUUUCUCUGCUGAUUAUUUCAGGUCUCUUGUACUGACUGCAGUUGGGAGUGCUGUUUCCGGUUGUGUGGUUCAUGCCCCAGUGAUUCUGUGUACGUUCUCUCUUCGCUCUGAUAAUGUAGGAGCUUCCUCCAAACCCAGUGUUUCAGAAAACUAGGAAGGGGCGCUGCUCUGAUGUUCUGAAAGUGGCUUCUCAAGAGGAUCCUCCACUCGCAGGGACCUGGGAGAGGCCAGUCGAACUCUGAGUUUAAGGCUAAGAGACUUUGAACCAGAAGGCGGUUGUGAUGACAGUGUGUGGGUAUGUGGCUGUUUCUAAGGAAAUAAAGUGA
rnacentral:lncRNA from 1 species